rnacentral:tRNA from 1 species
AAGUGUGUGGUUCAGUGGUAGAGUGUUUGUCUAACACGUAUUGGAUCCUGGGUUUGAUACUCCAGCACUCUUA